GCAUUUUAAGUUCGCAACUGUGAUUCUGAAGUGGCGACUCAGGAAGCACUUUCCUGCAGUGCUGUCUGUCCUUUCCGCAGCUCCCAGCCCACGGAGUUUGUCCUGGAAGCUUAGUGGGGAAUUUUGAAACAUUGGCCUCCCUCAUGGAGAGUUUGGGCUUCCUCAUAACAUGGCGACCCCAGGACAGUCAGACUACUUCCAUGAGAGCUGAAGACUUCCAGAGCAGUGUUCUGGCCAAGAAACUGGAAGCUGCAAGGCAUUCUGCACUCUGGCCUCAGAAGAGAGCUUCCUGAAGGAAAGUCCAUGUCCUUGUCAUGUUGGUACAGUUGGGACCAAGACCAAGGCCUGGUAGAGGAGACGUGGUCAGUAAGUGCUGACAGACUGAAU